rnacentral:misc_RNA from 1 species
GAUGAAGAACGUAGCGAAAUGCGAUACGUAAUGUGAAUUGCAGAAUUCAGUGAAUCAUCGAAUCUUUGAACGCAUAUUGCGCUCUCUGGUAUUCCGGAGAGCAUGCUUGUUUGAGUAUCAGUAAACACCUCAACUUCCAUAUCUUUUUUGAAAUGGGAGUUGGACUUGAGUGAUCCCAACGCUUUUCCUCACCGAAAAGUGGCGGGUUACUUGAAAUGCAGGUGCAGCUGGACUUUUCUCUGAGCUAUAAGCAUAUCUAUUUAGUCUGCCUAAAAAACAGAUUAUUACCUUUGCUGCAGCUAACAUAAAGGAGAUUAGUUCUUGUGCUGACUGAUGCAGGAUUCACAAAGACAGCUUCGGCCGACUUUGUAAACUCGAUCUCAAAUCAAGUAAGACUACCCGCUGAACUUAAGCAUAUCAAUAAUCGGAGGA